rnacentral:rRNA from 1 species
GGAAUAUUGCGCAAUGGGCGAAAGCCUGACGCAGCAACGCCGCGUGGGGGAUGAAGGCCUUCGGGUUGUAAACCCCUUUCGGGAGGGAAGAAAUUGACGGUACCUCCUAAAGAAGCCCCGGCCAACUACGUGCCAGCAGCCGCGGUAAUACGUAGGGGGCGAGCGUUGUCCGGAAUCAUUGGGCGUAAAGAGCUCGUAGGCGGCUUAGUAAGUCGGCUGUGAAAGCCCGGGGCUCAACCCCGGAACUGCAGUCGAUACUGCUGUGGCUAGAGUCCGGUAGAGGAGAGUGGAAUUCCCGGUGUAGCGGUGGAAUGCGCAGAUAUCGGGAGGAACACCAGUAGCGAAGGCGGCUCUCUGGGCCGGCACUGACGCUGAGGAGCGAAAGCGUGGGGAGCAAACAGGAUUAGAUACCCUGGUAGUCCACGCUGUAAACGUUGGGGACUAGGUGUGGCGAUCCGAUCAACGAUUGCCGUGCCGAAGCUAACGCAUUAA